GAUGAAGAACGCAGCGAAAUGCGAUAAGUAAUGUGAAUUGCAGAAUUCAGUGAAUCAUCGAAUCUUUGAACGCACCUUGCGCCCUUUGGCCAUUCCGAAGGGCAUGCCUGUUUGAGUAUCAUGAACACCUCAACUCUUCAUGGUUUUCCAUGAUGAGCUUGGACUUUGGGGGUCUUGCUGGCCUGUGGGUCGGCUCCUCUCAAAUGAAUCAGCUUGCCGGUUUUUGGUGGGCAUCACAGGUGUGAUAACUAUCUACGCUUGUGGUUUUCCACCAGGGUAACCUUCAGCAGUGGAGGUUCACUGGAGCUUACAAAUGUCUCUCCUCUGUGAGGACAGCCCUUUGAAUGUUUGAUCUCAAAUCAGGUAGGACUACCCGCUGAACUUAAGCAUAUCAAUAAGCGGAGGGA
rnacentral:misc_RNA from 1 species